rnacentral:rRNA from 1 species
UUGGAGGCAAGUCUGGUGCCAGCAGCCGCGGUAAUUCCAGCUCCAAUAGCGUAUAUUAAAGUUGUUGCAGUUAAAAAGCUCGUAGUUGAACUUCAGACCUGACCGGGUGGUCCGCCUAACGGUGUGUACUGUCUGGCCGGGCCUUACCUCUUGGUGAGCCGGCAUGCCCUUAAUUGGGUGUGUCGGGGAACCAGGACCUUUACCUUGAGAAAAUUAGAGUGUUCAAAGCAGGCUUACGCCGGAAUACAUUAGCAUGGAAUAAUAAAAUAGGACGUGCGGUU